ensembl:lncRNA
CAGAGCUAUUAAUUCUUUAAACAACCAAUUUAACAGGACAAACCUGGGCAGUACGAAACACCUAUAUAUUUUUUUUUUUCUUUUACAAAUUUGAUUACUUGAAGAAUUUGGUGGGCUGAAACUAAAGCUGCCAUGUUCUAAGUUGUUUAACACAUGUAGGUUUAAAUAUGAGGUAAUGAAUGCUGAAAUUCUGAUCUGUUGUCUCGUACUCAUCUUUUGAUCUCAAACCUGAAUGUCUUCAAUGUAUAGCGAAAACAAUAGAAUCUGCCUUGCUGUUCCAGUUCUUUCAGAGGGUACUGUUUGUUUUUGUAAAAUAGCAGACAAAGCCUAAUUACAAAUUUUAGUUUGAAGUGAAAUUACAUUAUAUGAGCAGUUAGUUCUUGUGCGAUUUCUGAGCUCACCUCUUGUCAUGGCAGAUUUUUAUCCAAAUUAGAAGGAACUGAAUCUAGAUUUAUGUAUUGUUAAUUUACCCAUUGACAUGUACACUUUUAUAAGUUAAAAUAAAUACUUCUGAUAUCCCUAAAUCAUUGCUUUUGACUCUGGAGCAAGAAAGCAUAUCUAAAUCAUUGGCAGCUGAGAAGGACAGUAUGGGGUCAACGUUUACAGAAAAUAUUUGGUCCAAGUGGAAAAUAUGUCAAAUUGAUUUGAGUGUCCCUUCUUAAGUUGUACAAUAAUUAUCUGGGUGUAUGUCAGUUACAAUAAACUGUAUUUUGGCAUGGAGAAUGUACCAAUUACAUAGUGUCGAAAAUGUCUGAGAGGAGUACUAUCAGCAGGGUUUGUACAGAUUCUUCAUAAUGAAAUUCCAGGACUUCGUAAAGCACUAUUUUUCUUUGUUUUCGAGGACUAUACAAGAGGUGUCCAUCCAUUUUCUGUACCACUUAUCCUACACAGGGUCAGGGGGAGCCUGGAGCCUAUCACAGUGGACUCACAGGGCAUGAGGCCAGGGACACCCUGCACAGGGACCCAACCCAUCACUGGGCACAAUCACACACACACACUAUGGACAAUUUAGAGAUACCAAUCAGUUUACAAUGCAUGUCUUUGGACUGGGGGAGGAAACCCCCAAAGCACAUGGAGAAAGGGCAAGGUCCAUACACACAGGGUGGCAGCAGGCAUUGAGCCCCCCGACCCUGAAGGUUUGAGGCAAACAUAACUAUUAAGCCACUGCAUCCCCCACAAGAGAUGGCAUUUAAACAGUCUUUUAUUCUUCUUUUUAAAUUCCAAAAGAAAUAAUACAACACAAACAAUUUUUAUAUGUUGCCUUUUCCAGCCAUGCUGGACUAAAUUUGCAUUUUGUCAGUAUACACCACAUGAGUGACAGGAGCAUUGUUGCCAAUAACUUUCAGUGGAAACUCACUAAAUUAUUUCAUGCACUAAUUAGCAUAUUACAUCAU